rnacentral:rRNA from 1 species
GCGCAGCAGGCGAGAAAACUUCACACUGUGCGAAAGCACGAUGAGGGAAUCCCAAGUGCUUGCACGUAAGUGUAAGCUGUUUCUCUGUCUAAAACGCAGAGAGAGUAAGGGCUGGGUAAGACGGGUGCCAGCCGCCGCGGUAAUACCUGCAGCUCAAGUGGUGACCGUUAUUAUUGGGCCUAAAAACGUCCGUAGCCGGUUUAAUAAAUGCCUGGGUAAAUUGUGUAGCUUAACUAUACGAAUUCCGGGUAGACUGUUAAACUUGAGACCGGGAGAAGUUAGAGGUACUCCUGGGGUAGAGGUGAAAAUUCUGUAACCCUAGGGGGACCACCAGUGGCGAAGGCGUCUAACUAGAACGGGUCUGACGGUGAGGGACGAAGCCCUGGGGCGCAAAACGGGGAUUAGAUACCCCGGUAGU